rnacentral:sRNA from 1 species
AUGUACGACGCGUACAUCCCGCUUUCUCCGCAUCGUCCGCACUCGCCUGACAACCACUCCUGAGUCUUACCAGCC